CCCGCUCAUUUGCAUACAGCCAAUCAGGUCGCUCCUAUGCAAAAUAGCUCCUCUCCUGGUGCUGUUGCUCCCUGAGAACCACAAAAUGGCUGCUCGCACGCCAGCUCUAUAAGGCAUGGCUGGUUGCAGCUAAGGAGACAGACCAGCGCAAAGCAUACGAGAAACACCACUCUUGUCAGAAAAGGACUGAAGUGUUACCGUUAAUUAUUCUGGACCAUGUGCUCGUUUACAACCCAUCUCACAUGAGAAAUUGUCUCAGAGGUGUCAAACAGCAUCACUUACCAUGGGGCGGGAGAGAGGUGGAGAGAGACCCUAUCCCUAUCCCCAUGAGCCUGACGCUUUGUUCAAGAGUGAAUUUUACCUUUGCAAUGGUUGGCUGAAAUCACACUUAGGAAAAGGACUACCAUUUCUUCUUCAUUUCUUGUAAACAACAAAAGAUUAAGAGAAGCAAUUACACUAUGUAACAAAAAUUGAUUUUUUUCUGUUCCUAGUUUGAAAGUAUUAUUUCCUGUUUGAUUGCAUGCCACUUACUUAGGAAGUAGUUGUUAUACUCCAAAAACUGCCACAAACUGUGUUAAAUUGGUUGAGACUCGAUGAGAUAGUCAUUGAAAAAACCAUAGCAAAAUGUGCUGCAGGAUGUCCUGCAGAAACAAAGUUUUGCAGUUUAAUAAACUUUUUCCCAUUUUUUUUAUGAUAGAACCAAUUAGGAAAUGACAUUUAUAGCCCAGGAACAAAAAUCGUGUUACUUAGUGUUAUUACACUUUUGUAGGAAAUCCACCAUUAUGAGCAUUAAGUCAGCAUAAGCAUGAAGAAGAUAUUAAGAAGGAAAUUGAAGGUGGGCAUAUAAUCUGCAUGGAGUAGUUUACCUUUUUAAAGAAUGCAAUAUUCUCAUAAUUCUUAAAAUUAUGCAGCUAUACACACCUCAUGAAAAUCACCUGAAUCCUGUCUGUUGAAAAUACCUGCCUAUUCUCUCUCUCAUCUGCCUAUUUAUUAUUUAUUAUGAUCUAUCAAUUGUGAUGGCGCAAUGGGUUCAACCCUUGUGUUGACUGAACUGCUGACUUGAAGGUCAUGUUGCUGACCUGAAGGUUGCCAGUUAGAACCUGUGAGAUGGGGUGAGCUCCCAUCUGUUAGCUCUAGCUUACAAGGACAUGAGAGAAGCCUCCCGGCUAAAACAUCUGAGUGUCCCCUGGACAAUUUCCUUACACCAGAAGCAACUUGCAGUAUGUUCUGAAGUUGCGUCUGACAUAAUAAAAAAAAAUCUAUCUAUUAUUGCAUGCGUUAAUAUCUCUCUGCAACUCCCAAAAUUCCCAGCCAGCUCACUGUCUGUUAGGAAUUGUGGUAGUUGAAGUCCAAAAUACCUGGAGGGCUGAAGUUUGCCCGUGCCUGGAUGACUUAGAAAGUGCUUCGAGAGACUAUAUUUUGUCAAAAGUGGCUACAUGGUAAAGGUCUCAUGAGGGUUAUAUUGUACACACACACACACACACACACACACACACACCAAGAUCUGGAGAGCUUCAUGAUUCCUAUUCUAGAUUUAGGCCACAUUUUGGAUCACUUUUUAAUUCAAAGCAGUGUUGUGGGGACAGUGUUGGUCGGACAGUUAAAUCAUUUCAAAUCUUAAUUGAGACAUAAAAAUAGCUAUCCAAGGUGGUGAAUCAUGUUCCCCCAGUUGGUCCAGUAGCUUGGAUGGUUCCUUCAAAACCUGGAGAGGGGUCAUUGUGUCUCAGAAAUGGGAGCUACCAACCACAGUUGGCAGAGACUUUUACUUUUAGAUUAAGGUGACUUUAUUGACAUGGAACACAUUUUACUAACUGCAUCAGGUUUGCUGAGGCCUUGCUGGUAAGAUCAUCUCCAUGUUGUAUUGCUAUGAUGUUAUACAUUCACCUCCCCUUGAAAUUGGUGAAGAAGAUUGCUUAAAUUUGCUCAAAAUAUGACUCAGAGAACUUUGUGCAAAUGAAGAGGCAUUGCAUUGACUCAUUUAAAAAAAUUGCAUUGAUUUCCUGAUUAAGUUCCUGCCAAGAUCAAAGGUCUGGUGAUCACCAUUAAAUUUCUAAAAGAGCCUCAGAAGACAUCAUCCCAUGACAUCCUGUCAAGGAAUUCAAAGAACACCAUUCUAUUUGUAUCACCAUCGGGAGUUCUCUAUCCAUCUACAAAAGAAAUGUGUGUCUUGACUUCGGAGCAGUUGCCCAAAUUCUGUUUUGGAGACGACUUCAGUAUUUGUAAAUCUAAAAGACCCUAACUAGGUUGAGUGAUUGUGUUCAUUUGUUCUUUUAAGAUUUUGUACACCUCUUCCUGAUUUUUAUCAUUGCUGUGUCAUGUUGGCUGAAACUCAAUUGAUGUCAUACACAUGUAUAAGUUCCCUUACACAAUCAGAUAUUCUUACCUCUGAGUGAUGGGUCUUUAUGGUUGUGUAAACCAAGUUACACAAGUGUAAUAAAUUCACAAGGAGUUGUA